CCUGGGGAUCGCUCGGCAGCGGUGCGGCUUGCGGGCUCCGUGGGCUGCUCCGGGAGCGCCAGCUCGGCUUUCUCGCUUGGAAGACGGGACCACGGAGGGCUGCCGUGGGCAUCUUCAACCCCUUUGAGGCCCUGCUUCCCGGCUGCGUGCUUCAGAGGCGAAUUUUUACACUUUGUGGAGUGGAUCGCGGCUUCCCGCGCCUGAGGAGGCUGGCCGGAGCCUGCAGCGAGGGCAUACUCAGGUGGUCAGACUUGAGAUGGAGCUUUCAAAAACAAAGAUGAAAACCUGAAGGAGCUGCCAACUGAGUGUUCCUUUGUAACAUCUACACUGCAAGGAAAAAUUACGUUCCUGCCUUGUGUCGCCUAACAACAACCUAUUUAGCUAUUGUUUUAAUCUAGAUUAUUCUUGAAAGCAGAGGUUGAAAUAAGUUUUCGGCAUCCAGUACAAGGCCAGCAGAAGAGUUAAAUAAGAAGCUUAAAUGUUUUGGAAGGCUUGCUUAAUUAUAGAAGUUAAGGAGAAUUCUUGUUCCUUGCCCAUCCAUUUUGUCUGUAGGGGUAUUCUCUUCACUUAAUCAAUCUCCCAAACAACCUGUGAGUCAAGUCCCCUUAGCUCCUCCUCUAGUUUCACCAAAUGUCCUGGAUUUCAUCAGAUGUACACAUGGAGAGUGAUAUCAGUGGCGAGCAGAAAGGACAGUGUUGAUACCAGUUCUCGAUUGACAUCCCUCAAGAUUCAGAUGCCAUGGGGCCAGCACUGUAGUACAGCAGGUUAAAGCCCUGGCCUAAAGCACCAGCAUCCCAAAUGGGCACCGGUUCUAGUCCCAGCUGCUGCACUUCUGAUCCAGCUCUCUUCUAUGGCCUGGGAAAGCAGUAGAAGAUGGCCCAAGUCCUUGGGCCCCUGUACCCACGUGGGAGACCUGGAAGAAGCUCCUGGCUCCUGGCUUUGGAUCAGCACAGCUCCGGCCAUUGCAGCCAUUUGGGAAGUGAACCAGCAGAAGGAAGACCUGUCUCUCCCUCCCUCCCCGUCUGUCCUCUCUCACUGUAACUCUUACUUUUGAAUAAAUUAAUUAAUUAAUUUUAAAAAAAGCUAAAGCCAUUUUGCACACACCUGAGUAUGUGACUGGCAAGCCUGUAAUGAAUAAAGCAAUGCCAAAGUUACCAGGCAGGACUGACAGACUGAUGUUGAAGGGUAGAUUAGCCUUGAGCAAAGCAUCUGUAUGGAGUUCUCUUAACACAGCCCGCAAGGCACCACACAAUUAGGGAGAUAUUUGUCAAAUUAUGUUCUGUUGAGUACUGUUUUCUUAGGAUAGGAAUUGAUGUUAGGAGAGAAACAAAAUUAGAAUGCUUCUUCAGUGCCAGAUGCUCAAACGUGAAUAUUUGUUUAUGAAUGUUUAAUGCAACUCUCCAAAAGAGAUGCUUCUAUCUGUCCCAUGUGGUAACAUGAUGUACAACCCAGAUCCUGCUCAAAGAGGGACUUGCUCCCCAUUCACUGGGUGUGUUGUCUGCAGGCAGCCUGCAGCUGUCUGCUUUCUUUGGGAAUUGCCCCAGCUGCACAGAACCACUGCACCUAAGGUCAGACUCCUUCCUGGGGUGGCCAGUCUCCAAGGACUGAUCAAUGCAGAGAGGCAAAGUUGCUCUUUUCCCACCUGAAAGCCAUUCCAACUCCAGAGCCCUCUGUGGUGAUGGCCAAGGCUGCUGUUGAACCUGCGUUACAACUCAGCUCCUUCAUCUACCUAAUCCUGCUUUUUCUCCUCUUUGCUGCAAGUAUUUAUGCAAAGGGUGCUUCUUAACGAAUGUCUUGUGACUUCAACUUUAUCUUAGUCUCAGAAUUCUCUAUCCUGGAGAACCAGUCUGAGACACUCAACUCCCUGAUUCUGACUGCCCACAAAAGUCUUUCCUCAUAGGGUAUCUGACACACACAGGUUUUAAGAAACAUACACUCUGGCUGCCAGGAAGCACAGUUGUGAGGACUUGGUAAACUCUUGUGUGGGAAAUGGGUGGAGGAAUUCCUGAGACUUGAACCCUUACCCAUGAAUUUCUUUGAAAUUUGAAAUCAGCCCAAUUUUGAAACAUAACACUCUGAUGUUCAAAGUAUUCCAGAACCCAUUAUCUGUUGAGGUGGAUGGAUAAGAUAUAAAUAAUAUAUGAGAUAUCUUCAAAAAAUUCAUGGAAAGGAAUACUAUGAAAAAUUAAUGCAUGGUUUUCAAUGUGGUUGUUUUCGCACCUGAAUAAACUUUCAUUCUAUCUUUCCAUGAGCUUUUUGAAGAACCUUCAUCUGACAUUUGCAAAUAAAUUUUCUGUUCUCUGUAAAAAUAUCUAAAUCUCUAAAGUGACCAGUGGUUAUUGGAGGUAUUGUAGGAAAAGAGUUGAAAGUUUAUAUCCAAGAAAUAAAAGCUAUGCCACAGCAAUUCCACAAAACAAAAAAAUCCUUGAAACUGAAAGAUUUACCCCCAAAAAUGUCCAGGGGAUUAUAAUUCACUUAAUUUAUUAAAAUAUUUGUGUUUGGCAAACCAGUGACUAAUACUGUUUCAAGAUGUGGCUUUAUUAAAAUAAA